AUGACAAAAAUUUUUCCAUUUUACUCGAAGAAAAUCAAAAAAACGAAGGGUCUGUUUAUAAAAAAAAUA
rnacentral:tRNA from 1 species